rnacentral:lncRNA from 1 species
AGGCAUCUAAGUCAUUCAUUUCAUGGUAGAAGGUGAUCAUUUGACUUCAAUUUGUUUCAUGUGAUUCAUUAGAAUAUUUGACUAAAAACACAUUACAUUCAUUUGAUUAUAUUGUCCAUACACAUUGCAUUGAAAAAUUACAAAGAAAAGUUAUAUUUUUUCAUAAGUUGACUUUUUAGUCAACUCAUCAUUUCUACCAUCCUUAACCCCUAAAUGUCAUUCUUCUUCAAGAUCAUAUUUG